rnacentral:rRNA from 1 species
CAAAAACAUAGGUUUCUGCUAAGUCGCAAGACGAUGUAUAGGAGCUGACGCCUGCCCGGUGCUGGAAGGGUAAGGGGAUCUGUUAGAGCAAUCGAAGCAGUGAACUUAAGCCCCAGUAAACGGCGGCCGUAACUAUAACGGUCCUAAGGUAGCGAAAUUCCUUGUCGGGUAAGUUCCGACCCGCACGAAAGGCGUAACGAUUUGGGCACUGUCUCAACAACAGACUCGGUGAAAUUGUAAUUCCGGUGAAGAUGCCGGAUACCUGCGACAGGACGGAAAGACCCCAUGGAGCUUUACUGUAGCUUGACAUUGGGUCUUGGUACUACAUGUACAGGAUAGGUGGGAGGCUUUGAAACCAGGACGCCAGUUUUGGCGGAGCCAUCCUUGGGAUACCACCCUUGUAGUACUGGGACUC